rnacentral:pre_miRNA from 1 species
AAAGUAUUCCCUCCGUUUCAUAAUUCUUGUCGAAAUAUUACAUGUAUCUAGACGUUUUUUAGAAUAGAUACAUUCAUUUUUAGGAAAAGUUGAGACAAGAAUUAUGAAAUGGAGGGAGUAGCUG